rnacentral:rRNA from 1 species
CCAUUCAUUUAAAGAGUGCGUAACAGCUCACUGGUCGAGCGACAGGGCAUCGAUAAUAAUCGGGCAUCAAGCGUAUUACCGAAGCUGCGGAUAGAAUCUGAUUCUGUGGUAGGGGAGCAUUCCCGUCUUGCGACGAAGGUACCUGGCAAUGGGCACUGGAGCGUCGGGAAAAGCAAAUGUAGGCAUAAGUAACGAUAAUGCGGGCGAGAAACCCGCACACCGAAAGACUAAGGUUUCCUGAUCAACGCUAAUCGGAUCAGGGUUAGUCGGGUCCUAAGGCCGAUGCGAAGGCUAAGGUCGAUGGACAACUGGUUAAUAUUCCAGUACUAGCGUGACCCAGUGAUGCGGUGACGGAGUAGUGAAAGGCCUGCCUGGUGACGGAAUACCAGGUUGAAGGGCGUAGGUAUACCAUUGGUAGUCAAGUACGCCAUAGGUGCUGAAACCCGAUAGUACCCCAAGCCCCCGGGCGCGGGGAUAACGGCCCUAAUCAGACUCCCAAGAAAACCCGCUAAGCGUUCAAGGUCACGCUACCCGUACCGCAAUCCGACACAGGUAGUCGAGGAGAGAAUCCUAAGGUGCUCGAGUGAAUCACGGCCAAGGAACUCGGCAAAAUGGCCCUGUAACUUCGGGAGAAGGGGCGCUUCCUCUA